AAUGUCCUGUGAUGACUACAUCAUCUAGGGACACGACUCAUUCCAAAAGACAGGUCUUUCUUUAUGGUUAUAAAAUCCGUUUGAUUGAAAAGAAAGUGUAUGAUGCCAUAAGUAAAAUGGGCGGGUGAGGCGAGACUCCUUCACUGCACUCAAGGUAGAAAGUGUAACAUAUCUUAUACACUAGUAAGCUCUUAAUCCAUUGUUAGUAACCUAAGUGUUGGUUGGCUUAUUCAUGAAAAAACUUCCACAUGUGCAUCGGGGCCCUCUCAUUAAUGACAUCUCUUUUUGAUUAACCUCCUCCUUUCUUUAAUUAGCAGGCACAAAGGUCAAAUUUCGUUAUUGAAUGAAUCCAUUGUUGUUGUCAUUUUAGUUAGUUUACCACAUUAUUUCCGUUUUCUUUUUGUUCUUAACAAGUUAUUCAAUCUCUUCAAGCACUUCAGUAAGUGAUACCAGGAGUACUCUUUUUUUUUAAUUUUUUUCAUUCAAUACCAGGAGUACUCUGCAACUUGAUUAUUGCAGAAAAUAUUCUCUCUGAUAUUCUUCAUAAAGAAAACAGUUCAUUUCUGGUGAGGCUUGGUAUGACUGGUAACAAUGUAGAGCAGCAAAGAGGGAAUCUACAAUGUCAAUCAUUGAAGAUGAUUUUUACUUAGUGUUAUAUGUUCUGUGCUGAGGCUAUCAGGAGCAUCAUUAUUGAUUUUUGCAAAUAAGCAGGACAUACAAGGUGCUCUUUCUCCAGAUGAAAUAGCCAAAGUGCUUAAUCUGGAGGCUAUGGACAAUAGCAGGCAUUGGAGAAUCGUGGGAUGUAGUGCAUACACAGGAGACGGGCUACUUGAGGGAUUUGAUUGGCUGGUACAAGACGUUGCAUUGCGAAUCUAUAUGCUUGAUUAAGCGAAGUUUACAUUAAGAUUUUGAUUCCUGCAAGAUGACAUUGUUAAAAUCUUUUGGAUAUACAACAUUUGUGCAUGUAAAGAUAAAGAAAAUCAUGCAAG